rnacentral:rRNA from 1 species
AGCGAACGCUGGCGGUAUGCCUAACACAUGCCAGUCGAACGGCAGCACAGUAAGAGCUUGCUCUUAUGGGUGGCGAGUGGCGGACGGGUGAGGAAUAUAUCGGAAUCUACUUUUUCGUGUGGGUUCAGGUAGGGAAACUUACGCUAAUACAGCAUACGACCUACGGGUGAAAGCAUUGGAUCUUCGGACCUUGCGCGAAUGAAUGAGCCGAUGUCGGAUUAGUUAGUUGGCGGGGUAAAGGCCCACCAAGUCGACGAUCCGUAGCCGGUCUGAGAGGAUGAUCCGCCACACUGGAACUGAGACACGGUCCAGACUCCUACGGGACGCAGCAGUGUCGAAUAUUGGACAGUGGGCGCAAGCCUGAUCCAGCCAUACCGCGUGGGAGAAGGCGGCCUUCGGGUUGUAAAGCCCUUUUGUGGGGAAAGAAAAGCAGCAGGCUAAUACCCCGCUGUUCUGACGGUACCCGGAGAAUAAGCACCGGCUAACUUCGUG